UACGAAGGGUGCAAACGUUGCUCGGAAUUAUUGGGCGUAAAGCGCACGUAGGCGGCUCUGCAAGUCGGAUGUGAAAUCCCUCAGCUCAACCAAGGAAGUGCAUCCGAAACUGCGGAGCUUGAGUACUUAAGAGGAUCGCGGAAUUCCCGGUGUAGAGGUGAAAUUCGUAGAUAUCGGGAGGAACACCAGUGGCGAAGGCGGCGAUCUGGGAAGAUACUGACGCUGAGGUGCGAAAGCGUGUGGAGCAAACAGG
rnacentral:rRNA from 1 species